rnacentral:rRNA from 1 species
GUUUGAUCAUGGCUCAGAUUGAACGCUGGCGGCAGGCCUAACACAUGCAAGUCGAGCGGCAGCACGGGUACUUGUACCUGGUGGCGAGCGGCGGACGGGUGAGUAAUGCCUAGGAAUCUGCCUGGUAGUGGGGGAUAACGCUCGGAAACGGACGCUAAUACCGCAUACGUCCUACGGGAGAAAGCAGGGGACCUUCGGGCCUUGCGCUAUCAGAUGAGCCUAGGUCGGAUUAGCUAGUUGGUGAGGUAAUGGCUCACCAAGGCGACGAUCCGUAACUGGUCUGAGAGGAUGAUCAGUCACACUGGAACUGAGACACGGUCCAGACUCCUACGGGAGGCAGCAGUGGGGAAUACUGGACAAUGGGCGAAAGCCUGAUCCAGCCAUGCCGCGUGUGUGAAGAAGGUCUUCNGAUUGUAAAGCACUUUAAGUUGGGAGGAAGGGCAUUUACCUAAUACGUAAGUGUUUUGACGUUACCGACAGAAUAAGCACCGGCUAACUCUGUGCCAGCAGCCCCGGUAAUACAGAGGGUGCAAGCGUUAAUC